rnacentral:rRNA from 1 species
GACGAACGCUGGCGGCGUGCUUAACGCAUGCAAGUCGAACGGAAAGGCCCCUUCGGGGGUACUCGAGUGGCGAACGGGUGAGUAACACGUGAGUAACCUGCCCUUGACUUCGGGAUAACUUCAGGAAACUGGGGCUAAUACCGGAUAGGAAUCCUUGCUGCAUGGUGGGGGUUGGAAAGCUUCGGCGGUUUUGGAUGGACUCGCGGCUUAUCAGCUUGUUGGUGGGGUAGUGGCUUACCAAGGCUUUGACGGGUAGCCGGCCUGAGAGGGCGACCGGCCACAUUGGGACUGAGAUACGGCCCAGACUCCUACGGGAGGCAGCAGUGGGGAAUAUUGCACAAUGGGCGGAAGCCUGAUGCAGCAACGCCGCGUGCGGGAUGACGGACUUCGGGUUGUAAACCGCUUUCAGCAGGGGCGAAGCUUGUGGUGACGGUACCUGCAGAAGAAGCACCGGCUAACUACGUG